rnacentral:rRNA from 1 species
GAACGAGAAAGUGGAGCAAUCCAUGAGUAAAGUGGCGACCGGGUGAGCAACACGUGACUAACCUACCUUCGAGUGGGGGAUAACCUCGGGAAACCGGGGCUAAUACCGCAUAAUGCCUUCGGGUUAAAGGAGCAAUUCGCUUGAAGAGGGGGUCGCGGCUGAUUAGCUAGUUGGCGGGGUAACGGCCCACCAAGGCGAUGAUCGGUAGCCGGCCUGAGAGGGCGCACGGCCACACUGGAACUGAAACACGGUCCAGACUCCUACGGGAGGCAGCAGUGGGGAAUUUUGCGCAAUGGGGGAAACCCUGACGCAGCAACGCCGCGUGGAGGAUGAAGUCCCUUGGGACGUAAACUCCUUUCGACCGGGACGAUAAUGACGGUACCGGUGGAAGAAGCCCCGGCUAACUUCGUG